UGGAGCCAUAGCUUGCUACAGGAAGGUUUCCCAGCCUGGGCUGCAGAUAGGGUUGUAGAGCAUGCCAUAAUCCUUCUUAUAAGACACAGUUAGAGCUAGUUUCUUAUAUGGAGAUGAAGAAGAAUGACUUGGGAGUGCCUGUAGAGGGUGUAAUUUUACCCAUCCCUUGAGUGAUAUAUCACAGAGCAGAGGUGAACCUCCUCUUCUAGCAGCAGCACUGUUUUAGGUGCCAUCAAUGACAUCCUUGUCAGCCAGAUAUGUGUACUGACUGCUACACUUCCUAAAAUGCUGUUGACUUUGCUGAUGGUUCAAAGUGUGGGGAAGUUUCAUAGGCUUCAGAUCUGGAUGCUUAUCAAAGCCUGCCUGCUCUCCUGCAGUACAAGAAGACCUGUACGUGAUCUUCUGCUCCUCCCGUGCCCUGCCACAUUAAACCAUUUAUGUAGAAAGUAAGCAGUCUGGGUUUGUCCUUACGACUUCACUGGAAUCAGUUGCUUAUUCCUGUCAUAGUUCUGCCAGCAAGUGCUUCAACGAAAGAAACAACAAAGUACCCACUGCAGUUGCUACAUUUUACUGCCAAGUUGUAAAAGAAAUCACAUUCUCAUUUUAGGUAAAUGGUCAGAUAUAUGAAUGCUGAAAGCUCUCUACUGUCAUCCUGCGAUGUGCUGCAGCACCCAGAGGGAGGAGUGAGCCUGGAGACCACCUCUUUCACAGCAGUGAGCUCCUGGUGCCACAGCGAUGGCUGUAUGUACAAAAGCUGUUGGUAUGGUGCUGUCUCUGACCAGAACAGCAAGCCGUGCCCAGCUGGGGGAGAGAAGCACAUCUUUGAACCAACCUUCUCUUUCUUUCUCCCAGCACUGACUUCCAUGGGCUGCAAAGAGAAGCAUUUCUCCCUCACUUCACCAGUGCUGUGUGAAAUGCCCUCUAAAUGCUAAUUUCAUUUCACUUCUACAACAGUAGAAAUAAAUACAGCACAAAUCUUCCUUCUCUGCAGUGCUUUUUUUCUUGACUGCUGUAUCUAAAUGUCCCUUCGAUCUAGUAUCUCUUAAUAGUUCAGUAAAGAAUUACUCAUGGGACUAUCCUUUUUUUUUUUUUUUUUUUUUUGCCUUGAAGGCAGUCCCUAUUACUCCACAGUAUGGAAACCAACUGGGAAAGUAAUCUAUGCAAAUUACAUGUACUUUUCGGGUUGAAUCGCAUUCCCUUCGCUCAUGGUAAUGAGUCACUUGGCAUGAAGUGGACUUACAGUGAAUGGAGAGAGCAUAUAAGGGCGCUGCUUCUCAAGAAUUACUUCUACUUGCUGAAUCUCAUUUAGGCCUGGAACCAUGAGGGGUGAGGCUCUGCU
rnacentral:lncRNA from 1 species